rnacentral:rRNA from 1 species
AUGUACUUGGUGACCUCCUUACGGAGCGUGAUGACCUCCUCCUCGGAGAGGUCCUUGGUGACCUUGUUGUCGAAGCUGAGGUCCAAAAGGAUCUGGCGGGAGCGGUUCCGCCCGAUGCCAUGGAUGUACUGCAGCGAGUACUCCACCCUCUUGUGGUUUGGGAUCUCAACACCACCGAUACGGAUGCACUCGAUCCGCAGGCCGCCGUGA